AACGAACGCUGGCGGCAGGCCUAACACAUGCAAGUCGAGCGAGCAUUUCGGUGCUAGCGGCGGACGGGUGAGUAACGCGUGGGAACGUGCCCUUUUCUGCGGAAUAGUCCUGGGAAACUGGGGGUAAUACCGCAUACGCCCUUUUGGGGAAAGAUUUAUCGGAGAAGGAUCGGCCCGGGUUGGAUUAGGUAGUUGGUGGGGUAAUGGCCCACCAAGCCGACGAUCCAUAGCUGGUGUGAGAGGAUGAUCAGCCACACUGGGACUGAGACACGGCCCAGACUCCUACGGGAGGCAGCAGUGGGGAAUCUUAUACAAUGGAGGCAGCCCUAAUCUAGCCAUGCCGCGUGAGUGAUGAAGGCCUUAGGGUUGUAAAGCUCUUUCAGCUGGGAAGAUAAUGACGGUACCAGCAGAAGAAGCCCCGGCUAACUCCGUG
rnacentral:rRNA from 1 species